UGAUCCUGCCGGACUGACUGCUAUCGGAUUGGUACUAAGCCAUGCGAGUCGUUGUACAAUACAAGGCGGACUGCUCAGUAACACGUAGUUAACUUAACCUAUGGAUGGGGAUAACCUCGGGAAACUGAGAAUAAUACCCAAUGGACCACAGUGCCUGGAAUGGCCUGUGGUUGAAAUGAUUUAUCGCCGUAGGAUAGGACUGCGGCCUAUCAGCUUGUUGGUGAGGUAAUGGCCCACCAAGGCUAUAACAGGUACGGGCUCUGAGAGGAGGGGCCCGGAGAUGGGUACUGAGACACGGACCCAGGCCCUAUGGGGCGCAGCAGGCGAGAAACCUUUGCAAUGUGCGAAAGCACGACAAGGUUAAUCCGAGUGUCUCCUGCUAAAGGAGUCUUUUGUCAGUUGUAGAAUCACUGGUGAAUAAGGGGUGGGCAAGUUCUGGUGUCAGCCGCCGCGGUAAAACCAGCACCUCGAGUGGUCAGGAGGUUUAUUGGGCCUAAAGCAUCCGUAGCCGGUUGCAUAAGUUUUCGGUUAAAUCUAUGCGCUUAACGUAUAGGCCGNCGAAAAUACUGUGCAGCUAGGG
rnacentral:rRNA from 1 species